rnacentral:rRNA from 1 species
AGCAGCCACGGUAAUUCCAGCUCCAAUAGCGUAUAUUAAAGUUGUUGCAGUUAAAAAGCUCGUAGUUGAAUUUCGGGGUCAGUAGAUUGGUCGUGCCACUGGUAUGCACUGGUCUUACUGAUUCCUCCUUCCUGAUAAACCGUAAUGCCAUUAAUUUGGUGUUGCGGGGAAACUGGACUGUUACUUUGAAAAAAUUAGAGUGUUUAAAGCAAGCUAACGCUUGAAUACAUUAGCAUGGAAUAAUGAAAUAGGACGUUCGAUCCUAUUUUGUUGGUUUCUAGGAUUGACGUAAUGAUUAAUAGGGAUAGUUGGGGGCAUUAGUAUUCAAUUGUCAGAGGUGAAAUUCUUGGAUUUAUUGAAGACUAACUACUGCGAAAGCAUCUGCCAAGGAUGUUUUCAUUAAUCAAGAACGAAAGUUAGAGGAUCGAAGACGAUCAGAUACCGUCGUAGUCUUAACCAUAAACUAUGCCGACUAGGGGUCGGAUGAUGUUAAUUUUAUAAUGACUCAUUCGGCGUCCG